rnacentral:rRNA from 1 species
UACGUAGGGUGCAAGCGUUGUCCGGAAUUAUUGGGCGUAAAGAGCUCGUAGGCGGUUUGUCGCGUCUGCUGUGAAAACGCGAGGCUCAACCUCGCGCCUGCAGUGGGUACGGGCAGACUAGAGUGCGGUAGGGGAGAUUGGAAUUCCUGGUGUAGCGGUGGAAUGCGCAGAUAUCAGGAGGAGCACCGAUGGCGAAGGCAGAUCUCUGGGCCGUAACUGACGCUGAGGAGCGAAAGCGUGGGGAGCGAACAGG